GUCGUCACAAUAACAGACAGAUGUGUAAAACUCUCAAGACAUAUUUUAAAGAUUCUAUGCCGCGAACUUUACAUUUUUCACCUACUUUUGACAAUCCAGUGUUAGUUGAUCCUGAUAAGCGCUCGUCAUCCAGCAAACAGUAAUUAUAAACCAGUAAUUAUAAAUUUUUCAUGAAAUUGUUCAUCUCUCUGCCAAUUGCUUUCAAUCUUGUACAGAAAUGUACAUAGGAACUCAUGAAAGAAGAGCUUUAGAUUUUAAAUACCUAUGUGCAUAUGAUAGGAGCGUUGACUUUGUCCAGUCAUCAAGUUUAGCGGAGAGCAUCAACUCCUAAUUGACAUGAGGAAAAAAUCAUUGAAAAGUGUUCAGUGUGUACCCCUCUUUGCAACAGAGGAAGCAUUAGGAAAGAGGAGAAGAGAGAAAGUGAAAAGGCACUCAACAGAUGUUGGUGAGACUUUAUUUCUGGAAAUGCAUUAAAGGUCACUCACAUUCUAGUUAGCCACAAAUGUAACGUGAUUUUAGAUUUUAGUCUUUAAAUGAGAUCCAUAACUCCAGCUACUUGUAGGCCUACAGUCCUGUAUAUUUCACACUAAAUUGUGAUGCAGCCUGAAUCAUAAUCACAUCAUGUUCAUUUGAUGGUCAGAGGAGAACUGAUCCCUAAACUAAACAUACUUUCUCCCAAGGGUUUUUUUCUCCAUUCUGUCACCUGACAGAGUUUGGGUUCCUUGCCGCUGUCGUCUUUUGGCGUGCUUAUUUGGGGACUAAUAAUAUUCAGCAGUAUUAUUGAUCUGACUUCACUGACACUAUUGGAUGAGUACUGAACUGAGCUAGAUGAUGACACCACUGCUAUCUAGAUGCACUGAAAUUAUUUUAUAUUUGAUGAUUUUUAUACAGUUAAUCGAAAUUAACUGAGUCAACACUGAUUUCAACUGAACAAUGACACGUUUUACUGUUUAGAGCUGCUUCACAGCAGAUGUGAAUUCUGUUUGCAUCAUUAUUUUUCUUUGUAUCACUGUAAAGCAGCACUGAAACAAUCUGUAUUGUAUAAAGCGCUAUAUAAAUAAUGGUGACUUGACUUAAAUUGGUUCAAAUCUUCAAAAAAAAGUGCAUGAAACAGGCAACCUGAAUAAACACAAAAUACAGUUUAUUAAUGAAACUUGCCUUUGUUUUAUGUUAAUUUUCUUAGGACUAUCUGACAAUAUUUAAUGCUGAUAUACUCAAAAAUAGAAUAAAUCAGGAUUUUUUUUCACAGCACUGUACACCAGCAUUUAUGUGCUGUAGUGUGACAUUAAUGUGUGGAAAUGGACAUUUUAUCAGUGUGUGAUUGCUAUUUUCAGGAAAUGCACUGGUAACAACUAAAAAAAGACGACCAAAAAUAUAAUUCAACAGAGGAUGAUGGCUGUGGUGAAACAAGCACUCAAAUAAUGGAACUAAGACCAGUGGGAGUGCUGGAGAAAUCAAGUGUAUAAGUCCUCUGUCGUCUCAUCCAUGGAAGAGAUCUUCAGACAUGAAGAGAUCGAGGAGUUAAAUGAAAUCAAAGAGCUAAAAGAAGAUCUACAAUAUUAGUGCCAUUUCAGUAUGAAAACAGAGAGAGAGCUGAGGCAGUGGAAAGAAAUGCAUGUUAUUGUUCAAGGGGUAGUUGAAUGGACUAUCAAUGCAGGAACAGAAAGCUCUGAGAUUUCAUUAUAAAGAUCUUCAAUUGUGUUCUGAAGAUGAAUGAAGGACUUGCGGGUUUGGAACGAUAUGAGGACUACAUCCAAAAUAGUGUUUCCACAUCUGAGAUGAAGGCAGUCAUAAGAACCAAGCAAAACGAUGAGGAU